AGAGAAAAUGUGAGCUCUAUAUCUGCAAAACAGGCAAAUGGCAUCUUUAUUCUAACAAUCUAGGAAAAGUAACAGAAUGUGAACUUGAAAAGCAGAAUGUGUGCAAUUGUCAAUGAAAUGAAGAGAAAAAAAAAAAAUGCAAAUACUUGCAGAAACAAAACAAAAAGAGAUGAGAUGCAAAUUUUGCAGUAACUUGCAGUGAAGAUCUUGUUUAUUAGGGAAAAGUGAAUUUCUACAUUGUGAUCAAAAUCUAUAAAUAAAGUAAGCAAAAGCUAACCUUGUUAUGAGAAGUAGUAGUAGUAGGU
rnacentral:misc_RNA from 1 species